rnacentral:rRNA from 1 species
CUCGCGCCGCCUAAUACAUGCAAGUCGAGCGGACAGAUGGGAGCUUGCUCCCUGAUGUUAGCGGCGGACGGGUGAGUAACACGUGGGUAACCUGCCUGUAAGACUGGGAUAACUCCGGGAAACCGGGGCUAAUACCGGAUGGUUGUCUGAACCGCAUGGUUCAGACAUAAAAGGUGGCUUCGGCUACCACUUACAGAUGGACCCGCGGCGCAUUAGCUAGUUGGUGAGGUAACGGCUCACCAAGGCGACGAUGCGUAGCCGACCUGAGAGGGUGAUCGGCCACACUGGGACUGAGACACGGCCCAGACUCCUACGGGAGGCAGCAGUAGGGAAUCUUCCGCAAUGGACGAAAGUCUGACGGAGCAACGCCGCGUGAGUGAUGAAGGUUUUCGGAUCGUAAAGCUCUGUUGUUAGGGAAGAACAAGUGCCGUUCAAAUAGGGCGGCACCUUGACGGUACCUAACCAGAAAGCCACGGCUAACUACGUGCCAGCAGCCGCGGUAAUACGUAGGUGGCAAGCGUUGUCCGGAAUUAUUGGGCGUAAAGGGCUCGCAGGCGGUUUCUUAAGUCUGAUGUGAAAGCCCCCGGCUCAACCGGGGAGGGUCAUUGGAAACUGGGGAACUUGAGUGCAGAAGAGGAGAGUGGAAUUCCACGUGUAGCGGUGAAAUGCGUAGAGAUGUGGAGGAACACCAGUGGCGAAG